GUCCCAGUUCGGAUUGUAGUCUGCAACCCGACUACAUGAAGCUGGAAUCGCUAGUAAUCGCGGAUCAGCAUGUCGCGGUGAAUACGUUCCCGGGUCUUGUACACACCGCCCGUCACACCAUGGGAGUCAGCAACGCCCGAAGUCAGUGACCUAACCGAAAGGAAGGAGCUGCCGAAGGCGGGGCAGGUAACUGGGGUGAAGUCGUAACAAGGUAAC
rnacentral:rRNA from 1 species